rnacentral:rRNA from 1 species
AUUGAACGCUGGCGGCAGGCCUAACACAUGCAAGUCGAGCGGUUGAGGGGAGCUUGCUCCCUGAUUCAGCGGCGGACGGGUGAGUAAUGCCUAGGAAUCUGCCUAUUAGUGGGGGACAACGUUUCGAAAGGAACGCUAAUACCGCAUACGUCCUACGGGAGAAAGCGGGGGACCUUCGGGCCUUGCGCUAAUAGAUGAGCCUAGGUCGGAUUAGCUUGUUGGUGAGGUAAUGGCUCACCAAGGCGACGAUCCGUAACUGGUCUGAGAGGAUGAUCAGUCACACUGGAACGGAGACACGGUCCAGACUCCUACGGGAGGCAGCAGUGGGGAAUAUUGGACAAUGGGCGAAAGCCUGAUCCAGCCAUGCCGCGUGUGUGAAGAAGGUCUUCGGAUUGUAAAGCACUUUAAGUUGGGAGGAAGGGUUGUAGAUUAAUACUCUGCAAUUUUGACGUUACCGACAGAAUAAGCACCGGCUAACUCUGUGCCAGCCGCCGCGGUAA